AAACAUAGAAAUGAAAACUGCACAAUUUAGGCUACAUAGCCAAGCUUUGACUAUAGCUGAGACAGAUAAUUAUUUUUUCAAAUUAGCUAUUUUCCUAAAUCUUUUAAUUCAGAUUUUUUUUAAAUUCAGUGUUUAGUGAAUAAACUCCAUAUAUGUGUCACAAAGUACUCAAUGUGAGCACAGAGCUACGAUUUAGGAUUCUGUGAUACAACCUUAGUUUCAACCUGCUUAUCAAAUCUCUAUCAUACAAAGGGAGGCAGCUUUUGUUGAACAAAAGGUCGCUACUAUUAAGUUUGUACAGGG